AUAACCAUCUGUACUUUGAUAGCAUAUUGGUAAUAUAUCGAUGUGACAUAAUUGAGCUCGGUUACUUAUUGAAUUCGAUAUCAUACCUCUUUGGUAUUAAUAACCACAUUAGCUAAAGACCGAUAUAACUCAUCGAAGGUUGGUUAACAACCGAGAUGAGCAUCAUAAUUUAAGAACAAUCCUCGUUAGAUUGGUUCAACCAGAUAUCAGAUUGGAGAAGC
rnacentral:lncRNA from 1 species